rnacentral:rRNA from 1 species
GGAUUAGAUACCCUGGUAGUCCAAGCUGUAAACGAUGUAGAUUAGAUGUUGGAAGAGUCGAUCCUUUCAGUGUCGCAGUUAACACAUUAAAUCUACCACCUGGGGAGUACGGUCGCAAGACUGAAACUCAAAGGAAUUGACGGGGACCCGCACAAGCGGUGGAGCAUGUGGUUUAAUUCGAGGCUACGCGAGGAACCUUACCUGGGCUUGACAUGAUAGGAGUAAUCCCUCAGAAACGAGGGGUGACCGUAUCCAAUCGGAGCUUAUUACAGGUGCUGCAUGGCUGUCGUCAGCUCGUGUCG